rnacentral:rRNA from 1 species
AUUGAACGCUGGCGGCAGGCCUAACACAUGCAAGUCGAACGAGAGGCGGACGGGUGAGUAAUGUCUGGGCAACUGCCUGAUGGAGGGGGAUAACUACUGGAAACUGAUGCUAAUACCGCAUACCAUCAGAUGUGCCCAGAUGGGAUUAGCGAGUUGGUGGGGUAACGGCUCACAAGGGCGACGAUCCCUAGCUGGUCUGAGAGGAUGACCAGCCACACUGGAACUGAGACACGGUCCAGACUCCUACGGGAGGCAGCAGUGGGGAAUAUUGGACAAGGGGCGAAAGCCUGAUCCAGCCAUGCCGCGUGUAUGACGAAGGCCUUCGGGUUGUAAAGUACUUUCAGCAGGGAGGCGUUACCCGCAGAAGAAGCACCGGCUAACUCCGUGCCAGCAGCCGCGGUAAUUC